CGUUGCAAACUUCUGACUGAAAUUGUAAUACCCUUUUGCUCUGCAAGGGUAUAAACACACAAUUUUGAUAAUCUUUGUGGGUAACACUAUUUUUGGAGGACAUAGUGGGUUUAAAAAAAACGUUUUAGGGCUUGACCAAUUGUCGAAAUAACUUUUAUAUCAAUUAUGGUUUCAGCGAUCUCAAUGCCAGGCAGUUGCGUUAAAAAUAUAACAUAUUCAAAUCGUAGCAAUCGGUGUAAUUCUUAUCAUCCUAACUGAAUAUAAGUUUGCGAGAAGUUGUUCCUAAUUUCAUUAUUAGUGAAGCUCUCACUGUGUUAACACCAAAUAUAUUGAAAUUUUUCAGUGGUAAGCUAAAAAUGAGACCCUAUACGUGCUUGUUUUUAAAAACAAAAUUUUCGAAUCUAGCAAUCGCCGUAAGACCCUCUCAGGAUUUUAAAGGCUGACAGCUACCACCCCACCAUUCGCCGAUAGCAUCCACAAAACCGACGACAAAACCAGGAACCAGGAUCUGAAGGUGUGAUUGUUGAAGUCGAAAAGAUGGGCACCUUUGUAUUCCCGGAGUUGUUGGAACUCCGUUAGCCAAGUUGCUAGAAUUUGGCAGACCUUUUGAUGACAUCGCAGUCAAAAGUGUUUUAAAGAAUGUCGCAGACAUUUCCCUUAACAACAAGUGAGCAACAAAAGCGUUUCACACAUAUGCUUUCCUCUAAUCUUUCACUUCAUUAUUUCAUAGUUCUAUUGUUAGUUUUGACCAGUUUAAGAGGAGCGUGCAGAAUUUAAAAGAAAUUGUGAAAGUUCUGCAACAGUCGGACGAAAAUUAUGCCGGCAGAGAUCUUAAAGAGUGUGCCCAUGACUACUACAUGGCAUUUUACCUCAACCCAGAGAUUCGGCAAAAGUGCAAAUUCCAGUUGCGACCAUGUGCGAUUGAAUUCCAGGACCGCCUACUGGGUUUUCUGAGCAUGAAAACUGCCAAUAAACUGAGGAGAUUUCACUCAACAAAAAGGAAUCAUGAUUUGAUUUCCUGUGAAAGCGAUUCUUCACAAGAUUCAGAAGAUCUUCCUUCUGGCAUUGUAGUUAAAUAAACCCCUGAAUGGGCGGACAAAGAGUUAUAUGAGCUGCAGGCACACUGAUUUGUACUAAGUUAUUAAUAAACAAUAAAUAUUAAAACAAUAUUUCAAGCUGUUGAUUAUUUAGAAAAGCAACAUUCCCGCUUUUUUUUUGAGUUUUUUGAAUAAGAUAAUUCAUAUUCAUACAGAUGAACAACUGAAUUUACAAUUUUAUUUUUCUUGCUUUAACUCCAGUGACUGGAGAACAUUUUUUUUUUAUCGAAAUAGUAGCCAUAUGACAUUAGCGUUCUUGAGAAAUGGUAGAUCUUAAAUAAGUUUCAAUUAAUUUCAAUUUGGAAAAACUUCUCUUCCCACUUGCGACACUGAUUGGAAGUGUUAAUAAAAUUCUCAAAGAUACGAAAACGUUUGGAAACGUCUGUUUUUCGAGUAUUGUUAUCGAACGAAGCAAUGAUCUAUUUGUAUCGACGUGCUAAAUACAUAAUCAAAGACCUGUAGGCACAA